rnacentral:rRNA from 1 species
CUGGCUUCMGGUCGGGGACAACAGUUGGAAACGACUGCUAAUACCGGAUAUGCCGAGAGGUGAAAGAUUAAUUGCCUGGAGAUGARCUCGCGUCUGAUUAGCUAGUUGGUGGGGUAAGARCCUACCAAGGSGACGAUCAGUAGCUGGUCUGARAGGAUGAUCAGCCMCACUGGGACUGARACACGGCCCARACUCCUACGGGAGGCAGCAGUGGGGAAUUUUCCSCAAUGGGCGAAAGCCUGACGGARCMAUACCSCGUGAGGGAGGAAGGCUCUUGGGUCGUAAACCUCUUUUCUCAGGAAAAAAAAAAUGACGGUACCUGAGGAAUAAGCAUCSGCUAACUCCGUG